GGGUUUCCAAGGUACCAUAAUAACUUUAACCUUCGAUUUUUGUGAUCCUACAUUAUUGUCCGUGCUAAACUUUUCGAAAUAUUUUUCUCCUUUAUUCUGGACCAGGUCUUAUCUCAUGGUUAUUCCUUCCAGCAGUUGCUGCUAGGAUGUAUUUCAAUGUUCCGUUAAUAUUAUACUAGAUUCUACAUAUUCCGGUGAAAUGAUCUAACACAACAUUAGUUUGCAUGUCUAACUAAU
rnacentral:lncRNA from 1 species